CAAGGAGUUUUCCGCAAUGGGCGCAAGCCUGACGGAGCAACGCCGCGUGGGGGAUGACACCUUUCGGGGCGUAAACCCCUUUUCUUGGGGACGAAGCAGUGACGGUACCCGAGGAAGAAGGCCCGGCUAACUACGUGCCAGCAGCCGCGGUAAUACGUAGGGGCCGAGCGUUGUCCGGAGUUACUGGGCGUAAAGCGCGCGCAGGCGGCUCGUCAAGCCUGACGUGAAAGCCCCCGGCUCAACCGGGGAGGGUCGUCGGGGACUGGCGGGCUUGAGGUCGGCAGGGGUUGGUGGAAUUCCCGGUGUAGUGGUGAAAUGCGUAGAGAUCGGGAGGAACACCCGUGGCGAAGGCGGCCAACUGGGCCGGACCUGACGCUGAGGCGCGAAGGCGU
rnacentral:rRNA from 1 species